rnacentral:rRNA from 1 species
UACGUAGGGUGCAAGCGUUAAUCGGAAUUACUGGGCGUAAAGCGUGCGCAGGCGGUUAUGCAAGACAGAUGUGAAAUCCCCGGGCUCAACCUGGGAACUGCAUUUGUGACUGCAUGGCUAGAGUACGGUAGAGGGGGAUGGAAUUCCGCGUGUAGCAGUGAAAUGCGUAGAUAUGCGGAGGAACACCGAUGGCGAAGGCAAUCCCCUGGACCUGUGCUGACGCUCAUGCACGAAAGCGUGGGGAGCAAACAGG